rnacentral:rRNA from 1 species
CCUACGGGAGGCAGCAGUAGGGAAUAUUGCUCAAUGGGGGAAACCCUGACGCAGCAACGCCGCGUGGGGGAUGAAGGUUUUCGGAUCGUAAACCCCUGUUGUUAGAGAAGAUAGUGACGGUAUCUAACGAAUAAUCACCGGCUAACUCCGUGCCAGCAGCCGCGGUAAUACGGAGGGUGCAAGCGGUACUCGGAAUGACUGGGCGGAAAGAGCGCGUAGGCAGGAUAGCAAGUCAGGUGUGAAAUCCUAUGGCUUAACCAUAGAACUGCAUUUGAAACUGUUAUUCUAGAGUAUGUGAGAGGAAGGUGGAAUUCUUGGUGUAGGGGUAAAAUCCGUAGAGAUCAAGAGGAAUACUCAUUGCGAAGGCGACCUGCUAGAACAUAACUGACGCUGAGGCGCGAAAGCGUGGGGAGCAAACAGGAUUAGAUACCCGAGUAGUC